UACGUAGGGCGCAAGCGUUGUCCGGAAUUAUUGGGCGUAAAGAGCUCGUAGGCGGUUUGUCGCGUCUGCCGUGAAAACCCGAGGCUUAACCUCGUGGCUUGCGGUGGAUACGGGCAGACUAGAGGUAGGUAGGGGAGAAUGGGAUUCCCGGUGUAGCGGUGAAAUGCGCAGAUAUCGGGAGGAACACCGGUGGCGAAGGCGGUUCUCUGGGCCUUACCUGACGCUGAGGAGCGAAAGCGUGGGGAGCGAACAGG
rnacentral:rRNA from 1 species